rfam:Triticum aestivum genome assembly, contig: Triticum_aestivum_CS42_TGACv1_scaffold_640946_T_6BS-0.215167_3B-0.139358
CUUAUACUCCCUCCGUUCGGAAUUACUUGUCUCGAAAAUGGAUGUAUCUAGAACUAAAAUAUGUCUAGAUACAUCCAUUUCUGCGACAAGUAAUUCCGAACGGAGGAAGUACGUC